CUUAUCUGUACGUGAAGAGACUAAUAUCUACCUUACAGAGCACAUGAGAGGCAUUAGGUUUCAGAGGAACCCAGUCGGAAUUGGAAUUUGGUAUUCUGGAACUACAAGAGAGAGGACUGGAUUAGCCACGUGCUUGCCAGCCCCUCCUCCGAUCUUGAAUCCUGUCCGUGACGAGGGCACCGGGGGAACGACUCAUCGGUGAUAAUUUGGGAGCCACUGCAGUCCCACUUGGUCUUUAAAUGUUAGACUUUUAAUGAUUUAGGAACCAAAAGAAUAACUAAGGAGCCCAGCAG
rnacentral:lncRNA from 1 species